GCGCUCGUAGCUCAAUUGGAUAGAGCAUUGGCCUUCUAAGCCAAAUGUUAUAGGUUCAAAUCCUAUCGAGCGUACCA
rnacentral:tRNA from 1 species